rnacentral:snoRNA from 1 species
CCUGAUGCAAAUGAUGACAAUGUGUUUUCCUGAGUGAAAACUGUGAUUUUUCAUUCAAAGUAAACGCACUGAUGCAUCAGAC